GGGUUGUGAGGUUAAGCGACUAAGCGUACACGGUGGAUGCCCUGGCAGUCAGAGGCGAUGAAGGACGUGCUAAUCUGCGAUAAGCGUCGGUAAGGUGAUAUGAACCGUUAUAACCGGCGAUUUCCGAAUGGGGAAACCCAGUGUGAUUCGUCACACUAUCAUUAACUGAAUCCAUAGGUUAAUGAGGCGAACCGGGGGAACUGAAACAUCUAAGUACCCCGAGGAAAAGAAAUCAACCGAGAUUCCCCCAGUAGCGGCGAGCGAACGGGGAGGAGCCCAGAGC
rnacentral:rRNA from 1 species